CAGUAGCCGCGGUAAUACGAGGGGUGCAAGCGUUGCUCGGAAUUAUUGGGCGUAAAGGGUAGGUAGGUGGUCUCAUUUGUCGGGGGUGAAAGCCUUGGGCUUAACCCAAGAAGUGCCCCCGAAACGGUGAGACUCGAGUCUUGGUGAGGGUCGUGGAAUUCCCGGUGUAGCGGUGAAAUGCGUAGAGAUCGGGAGGAACACCAGAGGCGAAGGCGGCGACCUGGACAAGUACUGACACUCAACUACGAAAGCGUGGGGAGCAAACGGGAUUAGAUACCCCGGUAGUCCCUGUCUCUUAUAC
rnacentral:rRNA from 1 species